rnacentral:rRNA from 1 species
GUACGCUAUUCAGAGUUUGAUCCUGGCUCAGGAUGAACGCUGGCGGCGUGCAUAACACAUUCAAGUCGAACGGACAAGGGACUUCGGUCCUGCGUUAGUGGCGGACGGGUGAGUAACGCGUGAGCAACCUGCCCCUUUGUGCGGGGAUAACGUUUGGAAACGAACGCUAAUACCGCAUAAUGCAUCGAGAUCGCAUGUUUUCGAUGCCAAAGAUUUAUUGCAGAGGGAUGGGCUCGCGUCUGAUUAGAUAGUUGGUGAGGUAACGGCCCACCAAGUCUACGAUCAGUAGCCGGACUGAGAGGUUGAACGGCCACAUUGGAACUGAGAAACGGUCCAG